CAAGACGUAGCUUAACCUAAAGCAUUCAGCUUACACCUGAAAAAUGUCUGCCAACAUCAGAUCGUCUUGA
rnacentral:tRNA from 1 species